rnacentral:rRNA from 1 species
CCUACGGGUGGCAGCAGUGGGGAAUAUUGGGCAAUGGGCGCAAGCCUGACCCAGCAACGCCGCGUGAAGGAAGAAGGCUUUCGGGUUGUAAACUUCUUUUGUCAGGGACGAAGCAAGUGACGGUAACUGACGAAUAAGCCACGGCUAACUACGUGCCAGCAGCCGCGGUAAUACGUAGGGGGAAAGCGUUAUCCGGAUUUACUGGGUGGAAAGGGCGUGUAGGCGGGACUGCAAGUCAGAUGUGAAAACCACGGGCUCAACCUGUGGCUUGCAUUGGAAACUGUAGUUCUUGAGUACUGGAGAGGCGGACGGAAUUCCUAGUGUAGCGGUGAAAUGCGUAGAUAUUAGGAGGAACACCAGUGGCGAAGGCGGUCUGCUGGACAGCAACUGACGCUGAGGCGCGAAAGCGUGGGGAGCAAACAGGAUUAGAUACCCCAGUAGUC